AUAGGGUCCAAUCUAAUUCUGCCUGAUGGUUUAUUCAUGUAGUCUCGCUUUUGGACCAGAAUAUAUCUUUUAUUAUCCUUGUGCUUGCGAUAAAUAACCAGUUCAAUGCACACGAGAAACGUAAAAGAACAUGU